UCACCGACGAGGGAUCGUUAUCCUCGCUGUCCGCGAAUUCCUAGCGGGGGCACUUGCCCGAUUUGCCUGCAUUGCGCGCGAUAAUGUCUCAGAUUAGAUAACGAAAUCGACGUCGAAAGGUCUGAUAAAGGAGCGUGGCGUCAAAAUCUCGCUAAUAGUCUUUCGACUGGCGAGACGCAGGUUUCGUCGAGAAUUUUUAUCUAAAUGCAAUUGUACUUACGCGAGCUGCAAAAUCGACGCAACGCGGUCCCGAAUGGUGAUAAAUUCUACUUAUUGCUUCUAACCGUGAAUUUUUCUGCACUGCGUCCAGAGGUGCGCCAAGAGACUGCGGAUACAGUGCAGAACGUUUUCAGGUAGACGGCCAAUAGCCAAUCAGGAAGUUUCGAAGGAAGAGGACCUUUUUCACCCUGUUUACAGGGGUUGGAUCCGUUGUGAGAGAAGAACGUCGUAGAAGGAGAGGGAUAUUCUACGAGAACACGCUUUGUUCGAGGGAAAGUGAGCGAGAGAGGAAGCGAGAGAAGCAAGAGAGACGCGGAGAAGAUCGAAGAAGGAUUUGCGGAGCAGAAGCAGCGAAACACCAGUUUCAUUUAACGUCAGCGCAUUUCCUAUCGUGCGUUUCUUGUCUUAACGAUCGUGACACCUGAACGAAAAUGUCUGUCGAACGUAGUCCGAACGUUACUUCUAAUAACGGCAAUCGUAGCAACACUCACCCCAUGUUUCAACGUCGUUCGUGCUCCCUGAACAACAUCCAGAGGAAAUUAAUCGAUUAAAGGCGAUUAGCAGAAUUUGCACGUUCGCACGAAGAUCCAGACUCGAGUUCCGUGGUAUCGGGACACCGGAGGAUCGAUCACCAACGGCCACUACUCAAGAAUGACUUAACAGCGUUCACCUUCGGUUUAUCGCGGACCGUACGCGACUUCUCCUACCUCUUCGUCACCGCUCCUUUAUACAGCGCUGAUACGAGAAUAAAUCCACGUGAGCU